UACGUAGGGGGCAAGCGUUAUCCGGAUUUACCGGGUGUAAAGGGAGCGUAGACGGCAAAUCAAGUCUGAAGUGAAAUCCCGCGGCUCAACCGCGGAACUGCUUUGGAGACUGGUUAGCUAGAGUGCAGGAGAGGUAAGUGGAAUUCCUAGUGUAGCGGUGAAAUGCGUAGAUAUUAGGAGGAACACCAGUGGCGAAGGCGGCUUACUGGACUGUAACUGACGUUGAGGCUCGAAAGCGUGGGGAGCAAAC
rnacentral:rRNA from 1 species